UUCAAAGUGGUCUAGUGGUUAGGAUUCCACGCUCUCACCGUGGCGGCCGGGGUUCGAUUCCCCGCUUGGGAA
rnacentral:tRNA from 1 species